rnacentral:rRNA from 1 species
CCUACGGGUGGCAGCAGUGGGGAAUAUUGCACAAUGGGGGAAACCCUGAUGCAGCAACGCCGCGUGAGUGAUGACGGCCUUCGGGUUGUAAAGCUCUGUCUGCAGGGACGAAAAUGACGGUACCUGAGGAGGAAGCCACGGCUAACUACGUGCCAGCAGCCGCGGUAAUACGUAGGGGGCGAGCGUUAUCCGGAUUUACUGGGCGUAAAGGGAGCGUAGGCGGAAUUUUAAGUCUGGUGUGAAAUCCUCGGGCUCAACCAUGGAGCUGCAUUGGAAACUGGAGGUCUAGAGUGCAGGAGAGGUGAGUGGAAUUCCUAGUGUAGCGGUGAAAUGCGUAGAGAUUAGGAAGAACACCAGUGGCGAAGGCGGUUCUCUGGACUGUAACUGACGCUGAGGCUCGAAAGCGUGGGGAGCAAACAGGAUUAGAUACCCGAGUAGUC